AGGGCAGUUUGUUUGAGACAGUUAUCUUCUAUAAAAUCUAUAGACAAGACAGUUUGUUUGAGACAGUUAUCUACUAUAAAAUCUAUAGACAGGACAGUUUGUUUGAGACAGUUAUCUACUAUAAAAUCUAUAGACAGAUUCUCUCAUGAUUGGCCAUAAGGAUUUAGACCUGAAGGAAAAGUGAAAGACGGAGGGAGACAAGAUUCGAAGAAGUCCAACUGUUAAAUAUGAGAUCGAAAGGAACAGCGAUGGAUUGUCAAGUGCAAAGAGCAAUACAACAAGCCCAAUAGAAUCUUCGAGAAGCCUUUGGUUCCCGCAGUCGGCAGUUGAUACCAUGAUUUAAACAGAUUGGUCCUCGUUCAAGCUACGAUUGGCAGUACAGAUAGUCGGGCUCAGACUGCCUUUCGUCCCGGAAAAACUCUGGGAGUGUCUUGACAUCGGUUGAUGAGAUAUUUGAAACACCCGAAGUCAGAAAAGCAUAACUCAUUCACCUGUUCA